CUGCCGGUGAUAAACCGGAGGAAGGUGGGGAUGACGUCAAGUCAUCAUGGCCCUUACGAGUAGGGCUACACACGUGCUACAAUGGCGUAUACAAAGGGAAGCGACCCCGCGAGGGCAAGCGGAACUCAUAAAGUACGUCGUAGUCCGGAUUGGAGUCUGCAACUCGACUCCAUGAAGUCGGAAUCGCUAGUAAUCGUAGAUCAGAAUGCUACGGUGAAUACGUUCCCGGGCCUUGUACACACCGCCCGUCACACCAUGGGAGUGGGUUGCAAAAGAAGUAGGUAGCUUAACCUCCGGGAGGGCGCUUACCACUUUGUGAUUCAUGACUGGGGUGAAGUCGUAACAAGGUAACCGUAGGGGAACCUGC
rnacentral:rRNA from 2 species